UUUUCUUUUGUAUGGAAUUCUUCUGGUUUGCAGUACUGUGAGUGUUUGUAAAAGAAAUAUGCAUGUUUUUAAAAGUUCCAUCACACAAGAGAGAACUUGUUUCUUCUACUGAUUUGAAUGGAAUUGAGCUUUAAAAGAACAGGUCUAUACAUACACAACUUAGAAAUCUUAAAACACUGGAUGAAAGGAAAAGUCCCAAUUAUCUCACUGAAUGUUUGCUGAAGAGGUUCAACAGGGGACAGAAAGAUAAUGACCGAAAACAUUUGAACUCCACUAAAUACCUUUCGGGCUGUCCUGCAUUUAUUGAAGGUUUGGGGUUUGAUACAUUCUCAGACUAAAAUCAACAUUUUUUCCCUCUCUCCUAAAAAGUCUCUUUUGCAUACCAUUUGGAGACUCAUGAAUUACAGAUGUAAAGCUGAAAACUAUAAGAGAGUUAUUGGCAUGAUUUUCUGAGAACAAGAGGAAAAUGGAAAACAUUUUAGCAAGUUAAGGAAAAAAAAUCAACAGUAUCAUUGUUUGCCGCUUUUGUUGAAACUACCUACACGAGUCAUUUGAGGGACAUGAAGCAACUUGCAUGAAGGUGCUGGAAAUAAUAGAGUCCUGGACUGUCUAUGCUGAAAUGUCUCCUAAUGCCAGAGUGAGAAUAAAAUGU